rnacentral:rRNA from 1 species
UGGGGAAUAUUGCACAAUGGGCGAAAGCCUGAUGCAGCAACGCCGCGUGAGUGAUGAGGGUCUUCGGAUUGUAAAGCUCUGUCUUUUGGGACGAUAAUGACGGUACCAAAGGAGGAAGCCACGGCUAACUACGUGCCAGCAGCCGCGGUAAUACGUAGGUGGCGAGCGUUGUCCGGAUUUACUGGGCGUAAAGGGUGCGUAGGCGGAUGUUUAAGUGAGAUGUGAAAUACCCGGGCUUAACUUGGGUGCUGCAUUUCAAACUGGAUAUCUAGAGUGCAGGAGAGGAGAAUGGAAUUCCUAGUGUAGCGGUGAAAUGCGUAGAGAUUAGGAAGAGCACCAGUGGCGAAGGCGAUUCUCUGGACUGUAACUGACGCUGAGGCACGAAAGCGUGGGUAGCAAACAGGAUUAGAUACCCUGGUAGUCCACGCCGUAAACGAUGAGUACUAGGUGUAGGAGGUAUCGACCCCUUCUGUGCCGCAGUAAACACAUUAAGUACUCCGCCUGGGAAGUACGAUCGCAAGAUUAAAAC